ACUCAAAGGAAUUGACGGGGGCCCGCACAAGCGGUGGAGCAUGUGGCUUAAUUCGAUGCAACGCGAAGAACCUUACCUGGCCUUGACAUACAGCGUGAAAGCCGGUGAAAGCCGGUGACGGCCCGAAAGGGUGCUGGGGCUGUACAGGUGCUGCAUGGUUGUCGUCAGCUCGUGUCGUGAGAUGUUGGCUUAAGUGCCGCAACGAGCGCAACCCCUGUGACUAGUUACCCCGAUGCGAGUCGGGGGCCUCUAGUCAGACUGCCUCGCUUUAAACGAGGAGGAAGGUGGGGAUGACGUCAAAUCAGUAUGGCCCUUACGGCCAGGGCUGCACACGUGCUACAAUGCGCGGUACAGAGGGACGCGAGACCGCGAGGUGGAGCAAAUCCCUGAAAGCCGCGCCCAGUUCAGAUCGAAGGCUGCAACUCGCCUUCGUGAAGCCGGAAUCGCUAGUAAUGGCGUAUCAGCUACGACGCCGUGAAUACGUUCCCGGGCCUUGCACACACCGCCCGU
rnacentral:rRNA from 1 species